UUGCAGGGUAUAGACCCGAAACCCGGUGAUCUAGCCAUGGGCAGGUUGAAGGUUGGGUAACACUAACUGGAGGACCGAACCGACUAAUGUUGAAAAAUUAGCGGAUGACCUGUGGCUGGGGGUGAAAGGCCAAUCAAACCGGGAGAUAGCUGGUUCUCCCCGAAAGCUAUUUAGGUAGCGCCUCGUGAAUUCAUCUCCGGGGGUAGAGCACUGUUUCGGCUAGGGGGCCAUCCCGGCUUACCAACCCGAUGCAAACUGCGAAUACCGGAGAAUG
rnacentral:rRNA from 1 species